AUUGAACGCUGGCGGCAGGCCUAACACAUGCAAGUCGAACGAGUGGCGGACGGGUGAGUAAUGUAUGGGAAACUGCCUGAUGGAGGGGGCUAACUACGGGAAACGGUAGCUAAUACCGCAUACCAUCGGAUGUGCCCAGAUGGUAUUAGCUAGUAGGUGGGGGAACGGCUCACCAAGGCGACGAGCCCUAGCUGGUCUGAGAGGAUGACCGGCCACAUUGUAACUGAGACACGGUCCAGACUCCUACGGGAGGCAGCAGUGGGGAAUAUUGCACAAUGGGCGCAAGCCUGAUGCAGCCAUGCCGCGUGUGUGAAGAAGGCCUUCGGUUUGUAAAGUACUUUCAGCGGGGAGGCGUUACCCGCAGAAGAAGCACCGGCUAACUCCGUGCCAGCGGCCGCGGUAAUUC
rnacentral:rRNA from 1 species